rnacentral:rRNA from 1 species
CAGCAGUGGGGAAUAUUGCACAAUGGGCGCAAGCCUGAUGCAGCCAUGCCGCGUGUAUGAAGAAGGCCUUCGGGUUGUAAAGUACUUUCAGCAGUGAGGAAGGUGGGUAUGUUAAUAGCAUACUCAUUUGACGUUAGCUGCAGAAGAAGCACCGGCUAACUCCGUGCCAGCAGCCGCGGUAAUACGGAGGGUGCGAGCGUUAAUCGGAAUUACUGGGCGUAAAGCGCAUGCAGGUGGUUUGUUAAGUCAGAUGUGAAAGCCCGGGGCUCAACCUCGGAAUUGCAUUUGAAACUGGCAAACUAGAGUACUGUAGAGGGGGUAGAAUUUCAGGUGUAGCGGUGAAAUGCGUAGAGAUCUGAAGGAAUACCGGUGGCGAAGGCGGCCCCCUGGACAGAUACUGACACUCAGAUGCGAAAGCGUGGGGAGCAAACAGGAUUAGAUACCCUGAUAG